UACGUAGGGUGCGAGCGUUAAUCGGAAUUACUGGGCGUAAAGCGUGCGCAGGCGGUCCGUUAAGACAGAUGUGAAAUCCCCGGGCUUAACCUGGGAACUGCAUUUGUGACUGGCGGACCCGAGUAUGGCAGAGGGGGGUAGAAUUCCACGUGUAGCAGUGAAAUGCGUAGAGAUGUGGAGGAAUACCGAUGGCGAAGGCAGCCCCCUGGGCCAAUACUGACGCUCAUGCACGAAAGCGUGGGGAGCAAACAGG
rnacentral:rRNA from 1 species